UAUAAGGGACGUGGUCUUAGACAUUAGAUAGAUAUAUAGUAGAACAUUGGCCUAUUUCAAAAAAAGUGACGAGGGGUAAUGUCUCAAAAUAUAGUUAGAGGCCAGAACUUAAUUAAUAUUUGCGGCGACGGAGACCCGACCCCUUCUCCCUCUUCCGGUCGUCUGCUGAUAGGAGCAUAAUUAUGGUUAUCUUAUUCCGGUUUUCCGAAGUAAGGAAAGAAAUAAGAGCAAAAGGAAGGAGAUAUGUGCAAUUGAUGGAGAAUUGUGGACUCUUGAUGAAUCAAGGAAGCUUAAGGCAAUAUGAAGGAAAAGAUAUUCAACAAUUAAUUCUCUUGGCUGCUCCUAUUGGAUAGAAGGAUGUCAAUGAAUCCUAAAUCAAUCAGAACAUUAAUCAAGGAGUUAGAGUCCCAAAAGAAAAGAAGGAAAGAGUUACAAACUGAACAAAAUCUCUCCUUGAACGUUGAAGAAAGGGACGAUCUCACAUACGAAGAGGCAGAGACGCACGAGAGCUUGAGAAGAAGAAGAACGACAACCGUGCUAUAAACGAUCGAUCACUGCACACCAGGGAUCGAUCGCCGAUCCGUAUUUUCCAAUUUUCUGAUUUUUGUUGUCUUCUUUCUCCAUGAACUCCUUUGUGUUUUUUAUUUCCUUUAUGUGUAACUAAAUUUCCAGUAGUUAGGGGGCAGUUGAAGCCCCUAGACAUGAUCCAUAACAUGCUUUGACAUUCAAUUUGUUUUCCAAUUAAUAAAGUUGAGGUUUUGUUUACCGAUU